GGAGCAGGCCGGGCAGUCGCUUCUCGAAAGGGGAGAGGAAAGUCCGAACACCAUAAAGCAACGAGCCGGAUAACGUCCGGGCGCCUGUGAUAAACAGGUGACGACAAGUGCAACAGAGAAAGACCAGCCAACUUGAAAUCUCAGAUCUCGAAUUUGGAAUUUCAAAGGUGAUGGGUGAAACGGUGAGGUAAGAGCUCACCGGCGCGUUUGGUAACAGGCGCGGCCAGGUAAACUCCUCGUGGUGCAAGACCAAAUAGGGAAACGUUUUUUGAGCUGCUCGCUCCUUGUCAGUGCAAACUGACGGCGUUUCCGGGUAGGUCGCUUGAGCCGCUCGGUAACGAACGGCCUAGAUGAAUGACUGCCGCCGGCUUUUUUGGCCGGCAACAGAACUCGGCUUACGCGGCUGCUCCAUUG
rnacentral:RNase_P_RNA from 1 species